rnacentral:snRNA from 1 species
UUGCUUGAUCAGCACAUAUACUAAAAUUGGAACAAUACAGAGAAGUCUAGCAUGGUCCCUGUGCAAGGAUGACAUGCAAAUAAGUGUGUUCUUUUGU